GUUAACUAUUACGUGUUUAAAGAGUUAAAUAAAGGUGUUUAUGCCUAAUAGGGGCUAUUUGGAAAGGCUUGUAACGGUUAUCAAAGAGAUAAACAUCUUGGACACCGUCACAAAAACUCGCAGACAGACGUAUUCUUCGGCUGACCCUUUUUGCAAAAAAUCGUAUCGUUGUGGGAAGUUUUCGCGGACGCAUUUCUCAGUUGAGGGCCAAUAGAUCUUUUGUGAGAUCGCACCUUGACAGCCAGGCUUUUGUUAACACCACAAAAGGUGGUUUACUCACAUCAUUCUCCAGCGUGGAGACCUGUUCCAACAUGACCUUGGAGCGUCGUUUAACAG